UACGUAGGGGGCUAGCGUUGUCCGGAUUUCUUGGGCGUAAAGAGCGUGUCGGCGGCCAUGUAGGUCCGGUGUGAAAACUCGAGGCUUAACCUCGAGAUGUCAUCGGAAACCAUUUGGCUAGAGUCCGGAAGAGGAAAGUGGAAUUCCUGGUGUAGCGGUGAAAUGCGCAGAUAUCAGGAAGAACACCAAUGGCGAAAGCAGCUUUCUGGGACGGUACUGACGCUGAGACGCGAAAGCGUGGGGAGCGAACAGG
rnacentral:rRNA from 1 species